AGGCUUAUUAAACCCAAGACAAUCAAGGCAACACCCCAGGAAUUACAGUUCUGCAAGGAACUAAAGGAUUUAAUUCAGAAAUAUGAAGGGGAUCUAUCCCAGCUGUCAAAAAGAUGUGAUGAAAUGAAGAAGCUUUAUAGCAACGUACUGGUAAAGUUUGGGGAGCCACAAGACCUGGACUCCCAAGAACUCUUUGGAUGGAUAUCUUCCUUCAUUAGUGAGUUUAGGAAGGCCUGUGCUGAAGUCACACCAUAAGGAGAACACAGACCUUAUAGAGAGGUGAGGGAAAGAG